rnacentral:tRNA from 1 species
AUGGUAGUGGUUAACACUCUGGACUUUGAAUCCAACGACCUGGGUUCGAAUCCCGGU